rnacentral:lncRNA from 1 species
ACACAAACAGCUGCAGCAUCGCCGCUAUCCACCGGAGUCAAAAAAGUCAUGUUGCUUUGCAGGUGUAUUCGAAUGAGACUUGGUCCAACCGAGAUUCUAGGGGAAUAUGCUUGAAAUUUCUGCACGUGCAAGGACUCCAUGAUCGUUAUGGUGAUCGUGGGAAGCUUGCACCAUUUUCGGAUAGUUGUUUGCCUAGAUAAUUUCUAAUUUUAAAAGGGGAUAGCAAGCUUGAUUUAGAAAUAUAGCAACACACGUACACUACACCCGAACUCUCUGCAAACACUUGGCGAUUACACACAUUUACACACUAGCAAUCUUUGUACCAAGCUUGUUAUCAUCCCAAGUUGUAAUCUUUGUUUGUUUAAUAUAGUUGGUGAUCGGUAGUUUCCAUCACCCGAGGUUUUU